rnacentral:rRNA from 1 species
GAUGAACGCUAGCUACAGGCUUAACACAUGCAAGUCGAGGGGCAGCAUGGUCUUAGCUUGCUAAGGCCGAUGGCGACCGGCGCACGGGUGAGUAACACGUAUCCAACCUGCCGUCUACUCUUGGACAGCCUUCUGAAAGGAAGAUUAAUACAAGAUGGCAUCAUGAGUCCGCAUGUUCACAUGAUUAAAGGUAUUCCGGUAGACGAUGGGGAUGCGUUCCAUUAGAUAGUAGGCGGGGUAACGGCCCACCUAGUCUUCGAUGGAUAGGGGUUCUGAGAGGAAGGUCCCCCACAUUGGAACUGAGACACGGUCCAAACUCCUACGGGAGGCAGCAGUGAGGAAUAUUGGUCAAUGGGCGAGAGCCUGAACCAGCCAAGUAGCGUGAAGGAUGACUGCCCUAUGGGUUGUAAACUUCUUUUAUAAAGGAAUAAAGUCGGGUAUGCAUACCCGUUUGCAUGUACUUUAUGAAUAAGGAUCGGCUAACUCCGU